UUUCUAUGUGCGGAAUCUCGAAAGAAUUAGUAUUCGGAAAUAAUUGAAACAAUAUCCAUAAUUAAGUUAGAUUUUAUGUCCCAGCAUAAACAUUGCACAAAAAAUGAAACGCAAGCAAUUCGGAAUAUUGACUAACAAUAACAAUGAUGUAACGAUAUAAUAUAUGAAAUAUCAUUAUACCAAAUUCACUAAAAAAUUGCUUCCUGGGAGUUUCUGGGGUCCUGAACCUGAAAAUUUGCUGUCUCUAUAGACCAUCGCACGGUGACGUCACACACCUGAGUUUGAUAGCUACUGGUAACUUUGUUUACCUCCGGGUGAUGCAGUUUGGUUCUCAAUUAUAGCUAAUCUUUUCAAUUGUGAUCAAAACGCCCCACGGAGGAGUAACUCGGGUGAAAACCUGGCCAAAAUUAUUUCGCUGCUAUUUAGCAAUAUUUUGGGAAAUAUUUAAGUGAGAAGUGGAAGUGGCUGGUUUGAGUAUUAUAUCAAAAAGUAACUCUGAAUAUCACACACACAACUUAAUGUUUACAUUUACAUAGCCUAUGUGUCUUCAUUGAUGUUAGUGAGCAGAUGAAGUAAUACGCUCGAAUGAUUUGUUUUCGCAAAACGGGCAGCGAAACAAAUUGAAGAAUUUACCAGAAAAAUGAUGUAGCAAAAUAUCUUCAUUUGGACUUAUCAAUUUGAUGCCUCGUGGGACCUACUUUAAUUUAAGUUAACUUAAAUUAGUUGAAAUUCAUUCACUAAACUAAUCUCAUUUAAUCUUUGUUGAGCUGAAACACUGUUUUAAGCGUGAGGCAGGCACCCAUCUGGUAUUUUUUUUUAAUUUCCCGUGUACGCAUGAACACUUAACGUCAAAAUUCGGACGUUACCGGAUGAGAUAUUUGCAAGGAUGUGUUCGUGAUGUUAUGAACUUCCAUUCUUCCGAUGAUUAUAUUAUCGGAUUCCGCGAGAUUUGAUAACUUAUUUAAUAUUGAAAAUGCGCGAAAAUACGUAAAAAUCACUAAUUUCUAAAACUUCUUAAGAGUAACUAUAAUUUUGAAAUUUCGGAAUUUCUUUCAACCGGUUUAUUAGCAUUGAAUAUAAAGAACUCAUUUGCUGCGAAAUAUUGAUCAAUUGUCAUUUAUUGAUGCCUGGCACAACUUGUUACUAUAAAUGGUUUGAUUCCCAAAAAAAAUGCUUGAAAAUUUGUCAAUGUUCACAACGCUCCCAGCAUAUGAUAAUACCGUUUAACGUUCAUCGAGUGAUGGCAUUUUGUGGAGUAUUUAUUCAAGCUGCAGGAAAAAAUAUAGCGGCACCAAAAAGCGACAAAGAACUUUUUUCUUAUUUUGGCCAGCUUUUUGUUCUAGGUACUCCUCUGUGCGCCCUUUAAAUGUUGUACGUGAGGUGCCAGUACACAAUAAUAAAUUGAACAGCAUAUCGACUACGCGCACGAUUGCCCCAUCAGAAAAAAGCUCAAAGUCCAAAACGUAACCAAAGUUACCACUAAGUGUCAGAAAAGUGAGGUUAAAGAGAUCAGCAAAACAUCCGUCAGCAAAACAUCGUUCGCAUUAAACUGUCAUUGAACGUUACUCAGUUAACUUUAAUUUUAAGUACUACUAACAUAAUUUUUCUUCAUUUUGUUUGUUAACAUAAAUGAACAGCUGAAUGAAUAUUCAUAAAUUGUAAUUACAUCAUUGAUUUGAUUAGAAGUGCUAGAUUUUAUUAUAUACAAAUCAUAUGAGCGAAAGCAGAAUAAACAAAAAAUGAAUGACCCAAAUAAUGGCUUGAUUUUUUCUCAUACUGAAUUUGUAGGAUGAGAAACAGAACUGCGAACCGUUGAUGAUCUGACUUUUUUAGCGAUGGAGGCAUUAAAAAAAUUAUAUUGGGAGCACCGGUAAAUUUAUAAAAUACCAGGAGGAAAUACUAAAUAGUGAUAACUUAUUAUUAUCGAAUGCCUGAUCACAUUAAAUGUGAAAUUUUGUGUGUAACUAUUACUUUUGGUAAAAAAUUUGAGCUUAGUUGAGCGUCCAACGAUUGGAGAGCAAAUGUCACAUAAUAAUUCAGCGGAGAAACCCUUUCCUUGAUUGAAAAAAUGCAUUUUCCAUGUAUUUGUAAUUAACCAUUUAUCGAGUAAAAUACUUAAAAGCCAUUUGAUUCCCAAGUUUAUCGCUGAAGCAGACUAGAGUCGUUGAGUCACUCAACGGGCCCUCGCAGUUCUCUCUGACCAAGCUAAAUAGUGUUUAGUGAAAUUUAGUUCGCGUUCGAGUCCACCAAGGUAGAGCCAACGAGAACCAAAAAUAUGACUGGAUUCAAUUUCUUGUUGCGUUGGAAAGAGCGAGUUUCCCCUGUAGAUAUUGCAGCUUAAAGAAAGACACUGAUGUUGUUACCGAAGAAAAUCCUGAUUUUAUACAGCAGCUAGUGACUAUGGAAAAAAAAAAAGUAAAUCACCUUUCCUAGCGUUAUCUCACGAUAUCGGUAUCGGCCAAUCAAUGUUACAUCGAUUGAACAUGUUAUACUAUGGCCACAAACAUACUCUACUAAUCACAAAGAAUCAAAAAUGACACAAAAAACGUGCGUGGGAUGUACCGGAUUGUUAUUGUUUAUUUCAGUUAGAGAUUCGCUAAGAACUCAGUGCUCGUAACGAAAUAACAUCCGGUAUUUCUGACGUAAUACAAGAAUCGACACUCUAAGCAAUACUAAGGGGACCUUUUUAUAUUAAUAUCGGUAUCUAUGAACAGAAUGUAGUAUUGUUAUUAUGAGAAGAUCUACAGAACGUUGCUUGUUCUAUUCCUUCGUUUCUUAUUUACCCAUCUUAAUAAUCUCUCGACUAGAGAAUUUUAUUUUAUAUCGAAAGCAAUCAGUCUCCACUAUAAAAUAUCCUACAUCUAAACCAACACAGCGAUAAUCUCUGUUUUGUCUUAGAGAGCCGUUGUAUCGAAUCAGAAAAUCAACCAGGAUGAACGAUUUUCUGUGUAACUUUUUUUCCUUUAUGAUCUCUUCAAGGUGUAACAUGCCUAUCGAUAACACUGAUUCUGCAAAUUGAUAACGAUAAAAAAACUGGAUUCAUUCAUUGUUUUUAGUUUCUUGCUACUAUAUAAAAAGGAACAUUUCUUUUAGUCCACAUCAGUGCCUUUCUAACAGUAAGUGCUAUCAAGCUGCAAUAAUUGAAGAGAAUUUCCAUUCUAACCCAACAAGAAAAUGAAUCCGGUCAUCUGUUUGGUUUUCGUUGCCUUUGCCUUGGUAUGCUCCAACGCGAACGCAGUUCCAUCAAACAGUGCUCAACUUGACGUUGGUCAGGAAUAUUUUCCCGAAACAGGAGCCGUUCAACCUGAGAACGCAGAGGGUCAACCACGAUUGGUUUGCUACCUGCCGGGCGGGAACGCCAUGUGCAAUCGGAACUGUAGAUCAAAAGGAUUUAGGUCCGGCUCAUGCAGAAGUGACAAAAUUUGCCAAUGUUACUAUUGAUAAUAACAUGACAUGUAACAAUUGGUCAAAUUGGGCAUGAAGCAGAAAAGGUGUGUUAGUUGGUAACAGUAAUCCGAAGACGAUGAAUCGAACCUUUGCAAUAUUUGUCCAAUAUAAUUGAGAAUAUAUGUAAAUUCUGCAUUCCACAAAA